UACGUAGGGUGCAAGCGUUGUCCGGAAUUAUUGGGCGUAAAGAGCUCGUAGGCGGUUUGUCGCGUCGAAUGUGAAAACCCGGGGCUCAACCCCGGGCCUGCAUUCGAUACGGGCAGACUAGAGUUCGGUAGGGGAGUCUGGAAUUCCUGGUGUAGCGGUGAAAUGCGCAGAUAUCAGGAGGAACACUGGUGGCGAAGGCGGGACUCUGGGCCGAUACUGACGCUGAGGAGCGAAAGCGUGGGGAGCAAACAGG
rnacentral:rRNA from 1 species